rnacentral:rRNA from 1 species
UUAGGAAUUUUGCGCAAUGGGCGAAAGCCUGACGCAGCAACGCCGCGUGAGGGAAGACGGCUUUCGGGUUGUAAACCUCUUUUAGCAGGGACGAACACAAUGACGGUACCUGCAGAAAAAGCACCGGCUAACUACGUGCCAGCAGCCGCGGUAAUACGUAGGGUGCAAGCGUUACUCGGAUUUAUUGGGCGUAAAGCGCAUGUAGGCGGUUCGGUAAGUCUGGUGUGAAAGCCCUCGACUCAAUCGAGGAAGUGCAUUGGAUACUGUCGAACUGGAGUACAGGAGGGGUGAGCGGAAUUCCAGGUGUAGAGGUGAAAUUCGUAGAUAUCUGGAGGAACAACAGCGGCGAAGGCGGCUCACUGGACUGUAACUGACGCUCAGAUGCGAUAGUGUGGGGAGCAAACAG